rnacentral:lncRNA from 1 species
ACUUAACACCUCCUUCCUUGCCCGGAGGCCAGAGCUCAAGCCCAUCCCCUGUGCCUACACAGCAGGUAGCUCUGUGGCCUCUACUUCCUCUUCACAGCCAUCCCUAACUUGUUUGCUGCGCCCCAGACCAUUCAGUCUUGUCUUCACCCUUUAGAAUUUCUCUGGUUCCUGACAUACACAAGGGAUUGGUCAGAGGAAUGCACCAGAAGAAAUCCUACCACACAGAAGUUUUCUGCACCAUGCAAGGGUUCUCAAAGUGUUGUCCUUGAACCAGCAGCAGCAGCUGCAUCACCUAGGGACAGAUCUCUCUGGUUCCAGUUUCUCUUCUGUUUUCAAAGUGAUAUGCUGAAGAGGAAGGCACAUUAUCGGGAAGGUAGAUAAAUGGUGAGAUGGAAAGAGAGAUGGUGAAGUCCAGCCUUGCACUUUGAUUCUGCUGACUACCCUCUGCAUGGCUUUUGGCAAAAAUGUUAACAAAUGAGCAUCAUCAAUUUUCUCAGCUGUAAAUUGGGGGUCUCCCCUACCUCUCACUGGAUUGUCUUGAGACUCAAAGAGUAUAAUGAAGGGGGGUUCUUAGUUACUGGCCUCCAGAUCACUCUUGUUUCAGUAUAAAACUGAAAACAAAAAACACACGUUUUACAAAGUGAAG